UACGUAGGGGGCGAGCGUUGUCCGGAUUCAUUGGGCGUAAAGCGCGCGCAGGCGGCUCCGAGAGCCCGGCGUGAAAGCCCCCGGCUCAACCGGGGGAGGUCGUCGGGGACCUCGGGGCUGGAGGCCGGCAGGGGCGAGCGGAAUUCCCGGUGUAGUGGUGGAAUGCGUAGAGAUCGGGAGGAACACCAGUGGCGAAGGCGGCUCGCUGGGCCGGUCCUGACGCUGAGGCGCGAAAGCGUGGGGAGCGAACCGG
rnacentral:rRNA from 1 species